UACGUAGGGUGCGAGCGUUAAUCGGAAUUACUGGGCGUAAAGCGUGCGCAGGCGGUGAUGUAAGACCGAUGUGAAAUCCCCGGGCUUAACCUGGGAACUGCAUUGGUGACUGCAUCGCUCGAGUAUGGCAGAGAGGGGUAGAAUUCCACGUGUAGCAGUGAAAUGCGUAGAGAUGUGGAGGAAUACCGAUGGCGAAGGCAGCCCCCUGGGUCAAUACUGACGCUCAUGCACGAAAGCGUGGGGAGCAAACAGG
rnacentral:rRNA from 1 species